rnacentral:rRNA from 1 species
UAAGCAUAUCAAUAAGCGGAGGAAAAGAAACCAACAGGGAUUGCCUCAGUAACGGCGAGUGAAGCGGCAACAGCUCAAAUUUGAAAUCUGGCCCCCCCCGGGGGGCCCGAGUUGUAAUUUGCAGAUUGUGCUUUUGGCGAGGCGCCUUCCGAGUUCCCUGGAACGGGACGCCACAGAGGGUGAGAGCCCCGUCUGGUCGGCCGCCGAGCCUCUGUAAAGCACCUUCGACGAGUCGAGUAGUUUGGGAAUGCUGCUCAAAAUGGGAGGUAUAUGUCUUCUAAAGCUAAAUACCGGCCAGAGACCGAUAGCGCACAAGUAGAGUGAUCGAAAGAUGAAAAGCACCUUGAAAAGGGGGUUAAACAGUACGUGAAAUUGUUGAAAGGGAAGCGCUCGCGACCAGACUUGGGCCCGGCGGAUCACCCAGCGUUCUCGCUGGGGCACUCCGCCUCGUCCCAGGCCAGCAUCGGUUCGCGCCGGGGGACAAAGGCGGCGGGAACGUGGCUCCCCCGGGAGUGUUAUAGCCCGCCGCGCAAUGCCCUGGGGCGGACCGAGGACCCGCGCAUCUGCAUGGAUGCUGGCGUAAUGGUCACCAGCGACCCGUCUUGAAACACGGACCAAGGAGUCGUCUUCGUAUGCGAGUGUUCGGGUGUCAAACCCCUACGCGUAAUGAAAGUGAACGCAGGUGAGAGCUUCGGCGCAUCAUCGACCGAUCCUGAUGUUCUCGGAUGGAUUUGAGUAGGAGCAUACGGGGCCGGACCCGAAAGAAGGUGAACUAUGCCUGUGUAGGGUGAAGCCAGAGGAAACUCUGGUGGAGGCUCGCAGCGGUUCUGACGUGCAAAUCGAUCGUCAAACAUGGGCAUGGGGGCGAAAGACUAAUCGAACCUUCUAGUAGCUGGUUUC